UGGAUCACCUCCUAACAGGGAGACAAACAAUGAUUUUGAUGUCUGAGUAUUUUAUUCUUAGGCCGAAAUCCUGUCACCUUAGGUCGAUCGGUACCUCAGUUUUGAAGUUAAGAAUCAGCAGUAAUGUUGAUUGCUUGAUGGAGAUUUUCAGUUCCUAAACUUUGUCUAGGUCACACCCCUGAAGGGAUGAGACUCCUGGGCCAUUAGCUCAGGUGGUUAGAGCGCACCCCUGAUAAGGGUGAGGUCCCUGGUUCAAGUCCAGGAUGGCCCAUUCGGUGUUGGGGGUUUAGCUCAGUUGGUAGAGCGCCUGCUUUGCAAGCAGGAUGUCAGGAGUUCGAGUCUCCUAACCUCCACUGACCAAACUGUAUCCCCAUCUCCAAAAGGAAUUGGAGUAUGAAUUCGAUUGGAGUGUGAUUCUAGACGUGUCCGCUGGAUGACCCCAGCUUCCUGUCAUUCCAAAUGAAAGCAAAAACGAUUUUGCUGAUUGAAUUUGGUUGAUAAGAUGCUGGGCUCAAAUCAAAUGAUCAAGCAAUUGAUGAUUUGAUUUGAAGUUCUAGCUGAACCUUGACAACUGCAUAGGUAAGGCUGGAAAGAAUAAAGCAUCUCAUGGAUGAUGCGAUGACUCUAAAGAAUGAUCUGAACGGAUGAUUGAGAGGAGUGAGUGUGAUUUCUAUAGAGGGGGAGCCGAGACUCAAUCUCGUUCUUGUGAUUGUGUCGAGCGAAAAAAAACUUUGAUUUUUGAUUUUGCAUUCAAUCAAGAAGAAUCUGUUUCCUGACCUGACGCGAGUUGGGAGCUUAUAUGGAAAAAGCUGCACAGGCCUCACAGCGUAUGUCUUGUCCCUCUGAGGCGAUGAAG
rnacentral:tRNA from 1 species